UACGUAGGGUGAGAGCGUUGCCCGGAUUUAUUGGGCGUAAAGGGCGCGCAGGCGGCCACGCGCGUCCGUUGUGAAAUCGCUCGGCUCAACUGGGCGAGGUCAGCGGAUACGGCGUGGCUGGAGCAAGCUAGGGGGCAAUGGAAUUCCCGGUGUAGUGGUGGAAUGCGUAGAUAUCGGGAGGAACACCAGUGGCGAAGGCGGUUGCCUGGAGCUUUGCUGACGCUGAGGCGCGAAAGCGUGGGGAGCGAUCCGG
rnacentral:rRNA from 1 species